rnacentral:tRNA from 1 species
UGGGGAGUCGCCAAGUUGGUAAGGCACGGGACUUUGGAUCCCGCAUGCGCAGGUUCGAGUCCUGCCUCCCCAG